GAGGAAAAGAAACCAACAGGGAUUGCCUUAGUAGCGGCGAGUGAAGCGGCAAAAGCUCAAAUUUGAAAUCUGGCACUUUCAGUGUCCGAGUUGUAAUUUGAAGAAGGUAUCUUUGGGUCUGGCUCUUGUCUAUGUUUCUUGGAACAGAACGUCACAGAGGGUGAGAAUCCCGUGCGAUGAGAUGACCCAGACCUAUGUAAAGUUCCUUCGAAGAGUCGAGUUGUUUGGGAAUGCAGCUCUAAGUGGGUGGUAAAUUCCAUCUAAAGCUAAAUAUUGGCGAGAGACCGAUAGCGAACAAGUACAGUGAUGGAAAGAUGAAAAGAACUUUGAAAAGAGAGUGAAAAAGUACGUGAAAUUGUUGAAAGGGAAGGGCUUGAGAUCAGACUUGGUAUUUUGUAUGUUACUCUCUCGGGGGUGGCCUCUACAGUUUACCGGGCCAGCAUCAGUUUGGGCGGUAGGACAAUUGCAAAGAAAUGUGGCACUGCCUCGGUAGUGUGUUAUAGUCUUUGUCGAUACUGCCAGCCUAGACUGAGGACUGCGGCUUCGGCCUAGGAUGUUGGCAUAAUGAUCUUAAGUCGCCCGUCU
rnacentral:rRNA from 1 species